ACGUGAUGAUUGCGCAAGCGCAGAAAAUGGGCCCUCUUGGCCGUCGGGACUUGCACUGUUGGUGACUCCGUCUCCUUAGACGGUGGAGCCUGCGUGACCCAGAAAGGCCAGAUGAGAAAAAUCAGAAAGAUGCGAACUAGGCCCAGAAACUUUUGCACUAAGUUUUGAAGAGGGGAAGGGAAAGAAGGCGGAAUGCUUACCCGGGAGAGGACUGGCGGCCACAGAGCAGAGCUCAGGAAAGGGCAGGAGCUGGGGCCCUGGCCUUGGGACCCAGACCAGGAUUUCCAUCAGCUCCCCUGGCUCGCAGGCCUUCUGACUUCUGACUCACCAUCAGCUCUCCUGGAUCCAGCUUGCCAAUGGCAGAUCGUGGGACUCCUUGGCCUCUAAUCACAUGAAACAAUGCCCACGAGACAGGAUCUCAUUCUAUUGCCCAGACUGGAGUACAGUAGCACAAUUAUGGCUCACCAUAACCUCGAACUCCGGGGCUCAAGUUAUCCUCCUGUCUCAGCCUCCCAAAUUGCUGGGAUUACAGGUACAAUCUAAUCCAAAAGGUCAAGAUAAGACAUUCUAAAUCAAAAAAGAGCUGUAGAAAACCAACAUUUUCCUCCCGAUAUGAAAAGAAGAUCUGGGGCUGAUUUGAGCUGGUUGACAUCGUUGGAUAAUGACCUUUUACACCUUUCCAGCCAAAGACACCAGGGAUAAAACCAAGACCUUGCCAUAUUGAGAAGUUAGGCCAGGGGGAUUUUCACCUUGCUACAGAAAAAGAAAGGCUGAUGAGCAGGAAUAGAAUGGAUCUAAUUUAGGAUCUUGGCUAUUUAGAGGCGAAUAAGCAGGCUCCAUAUGUUUAUAUGGCCUUUCUUCCUACUCAUUAUUAGAAAAUCUUCUUUGGGAAACAGUGUACCAAGUGGGGAGGUGCCAAUGCUAGAAGAAUGGGUACCAGAAAAUAAGAGCAAUAAGAGCUAAGAGUGGGAAAUACAUAUCACCGUGAUUGAUUUAACCUC